rnacentral:rRNA from 1 species
GACGAACCGGACAAACGUUAUUCGGAAUUACUGGGCUUAAAGGGUUUGUAGGCGGCCUUGUAAGUCAGGUGUGAAAUCCCUCGGCUCAACCGAGGAAUGGCGCUUGAUACUGCAAGGCUUGAGGGAGACAGGGGUAAGCGGAACUGAUGGUGGAGCGGUGAGAUGCGUUGAUAUCAUCAGGAACACCGGUGGCGAAAGCGGCUUACUGGGUCUCUUCUGACGCUGAGGAACGAAAGCUAGGGGAGCGAACGGG